GGUGGCUCAGUGGUAGAGCGCUUGCCUUGCAUGCCUAAGGCUCUGGGUUAGAUUUCCCAGCACCA
rnacentral:tRNA from 1 species